UACAGAGGGUGCGAGCGUUAAUCGGAAUAACUGGGCGUAAAGCGCGCGUAGGCGGUUAUAUAAGUUGGGUGUGAAAUCCCUGGGCUCAACCUAGGAAUUGCAUUCAAAACUGUAUGACUUGAGUGAAGUAGAGGUGAGUGGAAUUUCCGGAGUAGCGGUGAAAUGCGUAGAUACCGGAAGGAACACCAGUGGCGAAGGCGACUCACUGGGCUUUAACUGACGCUGAGGUGCGAAAGCGUGGGGAGCAAACAGG
rnacentral:rRNA from 1 species